AUGCAAUUAAUAUACUACCUAAUAUCAACGUGUACGCAUUUAGUAGUGAGUAUAAAUAUAUGGUUGCCCAGGCCGGUUUGUGAUCUGCAUCAGUACGCUUGUAGUACAUUGCAUUGUUGGAGGAGAGAGCAGAGUAAAUCGGGGCUGUCGAAUACGAUGCCGAGCUUGCGAGGCUUUUCUGCUGUGUUUGCAUUGGCUUUGCUUGCCGGAGUCUUCCUCGCUUCCCUUCCUUCAGGCGUGCAAUCCAUCGGCGUGUGCUACGGCAUCAUCGCAAACAACCUCCCACCGCCGAGGGAAGUGGUGCAGCUCUACAAGUCCAUGGGCAUCACCAACAUGCGCAUCUACUCCGUCCAGCUCCAGGCGCUCGACGCGCUCCGCGGCUCCGGCAUCAGCCUCAUGCUCGGCACCACCAAUAACGACGUCGCCGCCCUCGCCGGCAGCCUGUCCGCCGCCACCUCCUGGGUGCAGGCCCACGUAAAACCCUACCACAGCGCCGGGGUGACCAUCCGGUACAUCGCCGUCGGCAACGAGGUCACGGGCGGCACCGCGCAGCCCAUCCUGGCGGCCAUGCGGAACCUCAACAAGGCCCUGGCGGCGGCCGGCCUGGGCGGCGCCAUCAAGGUGUCCACGGCGGUGAGGUUCGACGUGCUCACCAACUCCUACCCACCCUCCGCCGCGGUGUUCGCUCAGCCCUACAUGGUCGACAUCGCCCGGCACCUGGUCAGCACCAGUGCGCCGCUGCUCGCCAACGUGUACCCGUACUUUGCCUACAGCAGCAACCCGAGGGACAUCAAGCUCAACUACGCGACGUUCCAGCCGGGCGCGACGCCCGUGAGGGACGCCCGCAGCGGGCUCGUCUACACGAACCUCUUCAGCGCCAUGGUCGACGCCAUGUACAACGCGCUGGAGAAGGCCGGGGCGCCGGGCGUGAGGGUGGUGGUGUCGGAGAGCGGGUGGCCGUCGGCCGGCGGGCUCGCGGCGACGCCGGAGAACGCGCGGGCGUACAACCAGGGCCUCAUCAACCACGUGGCGCACGGCACGCCCAGGAAGCCUGGGCCCAUGGAGGCGUACGUGUUCGCCAUGUUCAACGAGAACCAGAAGCCCGGGGCUGAGACAGAGAGGCACUUUGGGCUCUUCUACCCCAACAAAACGCCCGUAUACCUCAUCAAUUUCGUAGGAGCAAGACUGGCGGCGGCCAACCACACCAACUCGCAUGGGUUUGGUGGUGGACACUAG
rnacentral:rRNA from 1 species